rnacentral:rRNA from 1 species
AGAGUUUGAUCCUGGCUCAGAAUCAACGCUGGCGGCGUGCCUUAUACAUGCAAGUCGUACGCGAAAGCGGCCUUCGGGCCGCGAGUAGAGUGGCAAACGGGUGAGUAUCGCGUGGGUGACCUGCCUUCGAGUGGGGGAUAACCUUCCGAAAGGGGGGCUAAUACCGCAUAACAUCCCGCCCUUGGAUGGGUGGUGAUCAAAGUCGGGGAUCUUCGGACCUGGCGCUUGAAGAGGGACCCGCGUCCGAUUAGCUUGUUGGUGGGGUAGCGGCCUACCAAGGCGACGAUCGGUAGCCGGCCUGAGAGGGCGGACGGCCACACUGGGACUGAGACACGGCCCAGACUUCUACGGGAGGCAGCAGUAAGGAAUUGUUCGCAAUGGGCGCAAGCCUGACGACGCAACGCCGCGUGGAGGACGAAGAUCUUCGGGUUGUAAACUCCUGUCAAGCGGGAAGAACAGCGUGCGGGUUAAUACCCCGCAUGCCUGACGGUACCGCUGAAGGAAGCCCCGGCUAACUCCGUGCCAGCAGCCGCGGUAAUACGGGGGGGGCAAGCGUUGUUCGGAAUUACUGGGCGUAAAGGGCUCGUAGGCGGCCAGCCAAGUCGGACGUGAAAUCCCCGGGCUUAACCUGGGAAUUGCGAUCGAAACUGCCCGGCUAGAGUAUGGGAGAGGGAAGUGGAAUUCCCGGUGUAGCGGUGAAAUGCAUAGAUAUCGGGAGGAACACCAGUGGCGAAGGCGGCUUCCUGGCCCAAUACUGACACUCAGGUGCGAAAGCGUGGGGAGCAAACAGGAUUAGAUACCCUGGUAGUCCACGCCGUAAACGAUGAGAACUAGAUGUCGGGGGGGAUUGGCCCCUCGGUGUCGCAGCUAACGCAUUAAGUUCUCCGCCUGGGGAGUACGCCGGCAACGGUAAAACUCAAAGGAAUUGACGGGGACCCGCACAAGCGGUGGAGCAUGUGGUUUAAUUCGAUGCAACGCGAAGAACCUUACCUGCCCUUGACAUCCUCGGAACUUGGCAGAGAUGCCUUGGUGCCUUCGGGAACCGAGUGACAGGUGCUGCAUGGCUGUCGUCAGCUCGUG